rnacentral:rRNA from 1 species
AUAUGCUUGUCUCAAAGAUUAAGCCAUGCAUGUCUAAGUUUAAGCAUUAAACGGUGAAACUGCGAAUGGCUCAUUAAAUCAGUUAUCGUUUAUUUGAUAGUACCCUACUACAUGGAUACCUGUGGUAAUUCUAGAGCUAAUACAUGCUGAAAAAUCCCGACUUCUGGAAGGGAUGUAUUUAUUAGAUCCAAAACCAAUGGCCUUCGGGUCUCCUUGGUGAAUCAUGAUAACUGCUCGAAUCGCAUGGCCUUGCGCCGGCGAUGCUUCAUUCAAAUAUCUGCCCUAUCAACUUUCGAUGGUAGGAUAGUGGCCUACCAUGGUCGCAACGGGUAACGGGGAAUUAGGGUUC